rnacentral:rRNA from 1 species
ACGUAGGGUGCGAGCGUUAAUCGGAAUUACUGGGCGUAAAGCGUGCGCAGGCGGUUUUUUAAGAGAGAGGUGAAAUCCCCGGGCUCAACCUUGGAACGGCAUUUGUAACUGCAAGGCUAGAGUCUGGCAGAGGGGGGUGGAAUUCCACGUGUAGCGGUGAAAUGCGUAGAGAUGUGGAGGAACACCGGUGGCGAAGGCAGCCCCCUGGGCCAAUACUGACGCUGAGGCACGAAAGCGUGGGGAGCAAACAG